GCCUUGAGAAGCUAAUAAGCAUCGGUCUUGUAAAUCGAAGAUAAGAACCAUCUCUCCAAGGCU
rnacentral:tRNA from 1 species